AUACGUCUCUCAUCAUUUCAGCAACAAGGAAAUAAAUUAGUGGCAGAGUAAGGGGUGACUUGUGAACAAGAAAAAGAAAAGAAAUAGGAAGAAAUAAAAGAAAAUCAGCCUUUACAUUAACCCAAGAAUCAUCACUUUUGCAGAAAUUAUAAAAAUAAUAAUAAUUACAACCAACUGAAUCAGUAACCACGAGGGCGGAGUCCGGAACUGAGUUCUAACGCGCCCUCUCAGUGAUUGUGAUGCAGAUCUAUCUACAGCACUGCUGCAGUAACACGGU